rnacentral:piRNA from 1 species
UGCCCAUGGAUAAAUGUGUCAGAUUUGC